rnacentral:lncRNA from 10 species
GUUUUAGUUUUGGAAGAGCCAUCUAUGUAGGUCAUUUAGAUCAUCAUCUCUUUUCAUAGGGAAUAGGAGUAUGGCAGACACACCCUAAGGUGAUAUACAGAGAGUCACAACUUUGUAAUGCUCUCCCCUUAAGUGAGGGCAGAACCAGUGAUUUGCUUCUAGCCAACAGAAUAUGGAAAGGGUUCUGGGAUAGUCACUCUUAAUUAGGUUAUAUUAU